AAAAUAGAGCAUAAGACGGUGUUCAAUAUUUGGUUUAGACGGUGUUAUUAAAAUAACACCGUCUUAAAAUCAAUUCCUCACAUGACCGUUGUGCAAAUCCAAUUAAAAUAUUCAAAAAAAAUCCAUAAAACACCGUCUUAUGCUUCAACACCGUCUUAUGGUUACAUACGCACCCUUUAGACGGUGUUCCCUUUCAACACCGUCUUAUAUGCUCAUGCUUUAGACGGUGUUAUUUUAAUAACCCCGUCUUAAAAUCAAAUCCUCACAUGACCGUUACACCAACCCAAUUAAAAUAAUCAACAAAAUUCCAUACAACACCGUCUUAUGCUUAAACCCCGUCUUAUGUGUACAUAGCACCCUUUAGACGGUGUUACCUUUGAACACCGUCUUAUAUACUAUCAAAUUCAAAUCGCAGACUCUUCAACAACCCACCAAAUCUUCAUCUUUCUUCCAACUUUCUCACCUUCUUCAUUCUCUCAUCUUCUUCAUCCAACUUUCUCACCUUCUUCACUUAAUUUCAUCAUUAAGAAGCUUUUAAAGCUUUAAGAUGGAUCGCGAUUGGAUGUACUACCGAAAUCGUACAGAUGAAAUAUAUAUAAUGGGUGUUCAAAGUUUUCUUAAGGCCGCCGAAGCUCAUCGCGUGAAUAUGGGAGAUCGAUUAAUAUUUUGUCCCUGUGCAUCGUGUACAAAUUUUCAAAAAUUUGAUAUCAAAGAAAUAAACUUUCAUUUGUUUA